UAGGGAAUCUUCCACAAUGGACGCAAGUCUGAUGGAGCAACGCCGCGUGAGUGAAGAAGGUCUUCGGNUCGUAAAGCUCUGUUGUUGGUGAAGAAGGAUAGAGGCAGUAACUGGUCUUUAUUUGACGGUAAUCAACCAGAAGUCGCGCUAACUACGUGCCAGCAGCCGCGGUAAUACGUAGGUGGCAAGCGUUGUCCGGAUUUAUUGGGCGUAAAGCGANCGCAGGCGGAAUGAUAAGUCNGAUGUGAAAGCCCACGGCUCAACCGUGGAACUGCAUCGGAAACUGUCAUUCUUGAGU
rnacentral:rRNA from 1 species